rnacentral:lncRNA from 1 species
GCACUCUCUCCUUGGCUGUCUGUCUAUUUUCCCUUCACUGGGCUGUCUCAGUGUGUAUGUGCUCUCUCUCCUGGGCUGUCUGUUUUUUUUUGUUUGUUUUUUUCCUUUCCUGGGCUGUCUCUCUGUGUCCAUGCACUGCACUCUCUCCUUGGCUGUCUCGGUCUUUCUGUGCAUUCUUUUCUGGGUUAUCUUCCUAUUUUCCCUUUACUGGGCUAUAUCGCUCAGUCUGUGAACUCUUGUCUCUUUGGCUGUCUAGCUCUGUCUGUUUUCUUUCUCUCUCUCUCUCUCUUUGUCUUUGUCUUUGUCUUUGUCUUUGUCUUUGUCUUUGUCUUUGUCUUUGUCUUUGUCUUGGUGUGUCUGUGCACUCUCUCCUGGGUUGUCUCGGUGUGUCUGUGCACUCUCUCCUAGGUUGUCUCUCUCUUUAAUUAGUUCAUAAUACUCUCUCGGUCUGUAAGGUGUCUGUACACUCUGUCCUGGGCUGUCUCGCUCUGUAAUUAGUUAAUACUCUCUCUCUUGGUCUGUAAGGUGUGUCUGUGCACUCUCUCCUGGGCUGUCUCACUCUGUAAUUAGUUAAUACUCUCUCUUGGUCUGUCUGUGCACUCUGUCCUGGGCUGUCUCGCUCUGUAAUUAGUUAAUACUCUCUCUUGGUCUGUCUGUGCACUCUGUCCUGGGCUGUCUCGCUCUGUAAUUAGUUCAUACUCUCUCUCUUGGUCUGUAAGGUGUGUCUGUGCACUCUGUCCUGGGCUGUCUCGCUCUGUAAUUAGUUCAUACUCUCUCUCUUGGUCUGUAAGGUGUGUCUGUGCACUCUCUCCUGGGCUGUCUCGCUCUGUAAUUAGUUCAUACUCUCUCUCUCGGUCUGUAAGGUGUGUCUGUGCUCUCUGUCCUGGGCUGUCUCGCUCUGUAAUUAGUUAAUACUCUCUCUCUCGGUCUGUAAGGUGUGUCUGUGCACUCUCUCCUGGGCUGUCUCGCUCUGUAAUUAGUUCAUACUCUCUCUCUUGGUCUGUAAGGUGUGUCUGUGCACUCUCUCCUGGGCUGUCUCGCUCUGUAAUUAGUUCAUACUCUCUCUCUUGGUCUGUAAGGUGUGUCUGUGCACUCUCUCCUGGGCUGUCUUGCUCUGUAGUUAGUUCAUACUCUCUCUCUUGGUCUGUAAGGUGUGUCUGUGCACUCUCUCCUGGGCUGUCUCGCUCUGUAAUUAGUUCAUACUCUCUCUCUUGGUCUGUAAGGUGCGUCUGUGCACUCUCUCCUGGGCUGUCUCGCUCUGUAAUUAGUUCAUACUCUCUCUCUU